UGGGGAAUAUUGCACAAUGGGCGCAAGCCUGAUGAAGCCAUGCCGCGUGUAUGAAGAAGGCCUUCGGGUUGUAAAGUACUUUCAGUCGGGAGGAAGGUGGUAAGGUUAAUAACCUUAUCAAUUGACGUUACCGACAGAAGAAGCACCGGCUAACUCCGUGCCAGCAGCCGCGGUAAUACGGAGGGUGCAAGCGUUAAUCGGAAUUACUGGGCGUAAAGCGCACGCAGGCGGUUGAUUGAGUCAGAUGUGAAAUCCCCGGGCUUAACCCGGGAAUUGCAUCUGAUACUGGUCAGCUAGAGUCUUGUAGAGGGGGGUAGAAUUCCAUGUGUAGCGGUGAAAUGCGUAGAGAUGUGGAGGAAUACCGGUGGCGAAUGCGGCCCCCUGGACAAAGACUGACGCUCAGGUGCGAAAGCGUGGGGAGCAAACAGG
rnacentral:rRNA from 1 species